AGAACUUGAAGACGAUUGUUGCAAAAUAGGUCAAAUUAGGGUUUGUAUUUUUUUUUUGGAAAAAAUAGAGGUUAUGAGCACCUCCGUACAAUUUCCGGAAUAAAAAAACGUGACCACCAUCUUCAAUCAAACAAAGCACACGAUGACGACGAACAAAGCUUUACAUUGUCAUGAUUCUGUUUUCAAGAGGGUCUCUUGCUUAGAUAAAAUGUCUGGCACAUUACACUCAAUGGGAUACAAGAUAACGUAAAAGAUUUCACUUCAAAAAUGUUCCAAUAAUCUGGUAAAUGGAAGAGGCAAAACAACAAGAUCAGUGUCAUGUUUCAAUUGCAGUUUCAAGCUACCCAGGUCUAAUAUAAGUAUUCAGACUUCUUUAAAAAAAACAAUACCUUUAUAGCAUAAAUGGAACAGGAAAAAGUUUAGCAUAAACGGAGCUCUUAGAUGCUCAGGAGUGACAAGAUGAAUAAAGUGGUGAAGAGUUGCAAUAUGCACUUUCUAUAAUGAAGUUAAGAGACGGAGAGAUAUGUUGGUGGCUUGGAUGUUAGAAGUUCAUGAUUUUUCAAAUUGUUUCGAGCAACUAGAUUAGAUGUUGUUACAAUAAGGAGGAUGCAUUCGUAUAUGUUGCGUAGGGAUGAGCUUGGUACCGAUCAGUACCGGUAUCGAAAAUACCGGUACGGUACAGUUUGGUACCGGUAAAUACCCGUACAGGACCGGCACCGAAAACGUCAAAAGUUGGUAGCAAAUUGGUACCGAAAUAUAUUUUCGGUUCGAAAAAUUCGGUACCAGUACUCGGUACUGUUUGCUCAUCUCUUUGCGUGUUAAUUUGUAAGCCCCGGACGCAUCGCGGCAGGGAGGCUUCCUUCUAGUUUACUCAAAUAAGAAACAAUAUCUAAUGUUUCCAUCGGUGAUAUUUGCAUGAGUCCC
rnacentral:lncRNA from 1 species